CCUACGGGAGGCAGCAGUGAGGAAUAUUGGUCAAUGGACGAGAGUCUGAACCAGCCAAGUAGCGUGAAGGAUGACUGCCCUAUGGGUUGUAAACUUCUUUUAUAAAGGAAUAAAACGAGGCACGUGUGCCUUUUUGCAUGUACUUUAUGAAUAAGGAUCGGCUAACUCCGUGCCAGCAGCCGCGGUAAUACGGAGGAUCCGAGCGUUAUCCGGAUUUAUUGGGUUUAAAGGGAGCGUAGAUGGGUUGUUAAGUCAGUUGUGAAAGUUUGCGGCUCAACCGUAAAAUUGCAAUUGAUACUGGCAGUCGUGAGUACAGUUGAGGUAGGCGGAAUUCGUGGUGUAGCGGUGAAAUGCUUAGAUAUCACGAAGAACCCCGAUUGCGAAGGCAGCUUACUAAACUGUGACUGACAUUGAUGCUCGAAAGUGUGGGUAUCAAACGGGAUUAGAUACCCGAGUAGUC
rnacentral:rRNA from 1 species